AAGUCGUAACAAGGUUUCCGUAGGUGAACCUGCGGAAGGAUCAUUACAGUAUUCUUUUGCCAGCGCUCAAUUGCGCGGCGAAAAACCUUACACACUAUGUUUUUUUAAUUUGAAACUAUUGCUUUGGUCUGGCUUAGAAAUAGGUUGGGCCAAAGGUUUUAUCAAAACUUCAAUAUUUAUUAUUGAAUUGUUAUUUUUAAUUUUAUGUCAAUUUGUUGAUUAAUAUCAAAAAUCUUCAAAACUUUCAACAACGGAUCUCUUGGUUCUC
rnacentral:misc_RNA from 1 species